GAUGAACGCUGGCGGCGUGCCUAAUACAUGCAAGUCGAGCGAAUGGAUUAAGAGCUUGCUCUUAUGAAGUUAGCGGCGGACGGGUGAGUAACACGUGAGUAACCUGCCCAUAAGACUGGGAUAACUCCGGGAAACCGGGGCUAAUACCGGAUAACAUUUUGAACCGCAUGGUUCGAAAUCGAAAGGCGGCUUCGGCUGUCACUUAUGGAUGGACCCGCGUCGCAUUAGCUAGUUGGUGAGGUAACGGCUCACCAAGGCAACGAGGCGUAGCCGACCUUGGAGGGUGAUCGGCCACACUGGGACUGAGACACGGCCCAGACUCCUACGGGAGGCAGCAGUAGGGAAUCUUCCGCAAUGGACGAAAGUCUGACGGAGCAACGCCGCGUGAGUGAUGAAGGCUUUCGGGUCGUAAAACUCUGUUGUUAGGGAAGAACAAGUGCUAGUUGAAUAAGCUGGCACCUUGACGGUACCUAACCAGAAAGCCACGGCUAACUACGUGCCAGCCGCCGCAGUAA
rnacentral:rRNA from 1 species